rnacentral:lncRNA from 1 species
UGAUUGGACUUUUCCAAUAGGAAAGAAUAAUGUGCACAGCUAGACAGAAGGAAAUGGUCCAAAUCAGCAACCUAAAAUGGUUGCAGACUUGCAGUGCACCAACAAAGAAGACAUAAAUGCUCGCUUGAAAACGUCAAACGAGACAUGGUUUGAUUGGCGAAGUGGGCGCAAUCGAACAGCUCUUAAAAGAAAUAGGACGCC